ACUUCAAGAAUUGUCUGAUCUAGACAUUGCUAAGUCUGGUACAAGUGCAAGUGUUCGCAUCACCAUUGAUGACACCGAAUCAUAAGUCUUGGGAAUACGAGAAGAACAUCAAAGGAAGUGUGCUGCUGUCAAGGAAUCCUCUCAGGUUCUUUUCUUGUGUUCUAUCUUCUAUGAUUUCCUCAGCUUGGACCUCAAGGAGUUGUGUUGCUUGAAAAUUUGUUAAGCCCUUAAAUUAUUAGCUAUGGUUGUCUCAGUUUGGACCUAUUCAGCUUGAACCAUGUUUGUUUUGUGUUUGUGACUCAGCCUGAUUUGUGACUCAAGUUAUGUCUCUGUCUAUGCUUGUGAUGUUUUUAUUUUCUGUUUAUUUGAUCUAUGCUUGUGCACAAUUUUAUUUGAUCUAUGCUUGUGAACAUAUGCACUAUAUUGUAUCUGUGCUUCAGACUAAUGAAGAUCUCGCAUGUGUUGUGCACUAAAUCUGGAAUUGGUGCACUGUAA